GUGCUUGCUUCAGCAGCACAUGUAUACUAAAGUUGGAAUGAUACAGAGGUUAACAUGGCCGCUGUGCAAAGAUGACACACAAGUUUGUGAAGCUUUCCAUAUUUAA